GAAGCGCGAAGACNGCUCCGGGCGACCGGGUAGGACCGUCACCGCCUCGUCGNCAGGCGAGGCUGCC
rnacentral:ncRNA from 12 species